AUAAGCUUCUUGUCCUAACGAUGAAAAAUUUACCACUUAUUACUGCUUCCAAGUGCAUGAGGCUGUCAGAAGAGCGCAAGUGGGAAGACAGGCCCAGCUUCAGUGAAGAUGGAGCGAAGCACUCGUGGUGUUACUGACAGGAAACGGCUCCUGGUUUGGAAAGUGCUGUACACGUCUCACAGUAAACGUAACAUGAAAAUGACUGAAAUCUGAACACUACAAAACUGCCUGUAUCUUGGUGACAACUAAAUUCACAGAAAAGCCUCUAAUUUUUGCUUGAUUACUGUAUGCGAACCUUUCGCUCCCAAGUAGUUCAGCCAAUUAACAAAAACAAUCCUGCUGUAACCACAGACUGAAUUAUCCGAUGCUGAGCCCCCCCUAAAACCUCCUUCCCGUACCUGAGGGAAGACGGAGGGGGGAGGGGGGGCGCACUCGGCCCCUCAGGCUCGGCCGCCAUCUCGAGGCAGCGCCGGGCCGGGCCGGGCCGUGCCGCCUGUCAGCGGGUGGGCACUGCGCAUGCGCGGGGCGGGAAGCCUCCGGAGCGGCGCGAGGCGUGGGCGCGUGCCUGUGGAGAGCCGGGGCGGCCCGGCGGGAGAGCGGCGCUGAGGCUUCAGCCUCGAAGGUCAUUGUAGGGGCUUUAAGAAUCUUUUCUGAAGUUGAUGUUUAUUUCAUUCUGUAAUGAGCAUGUCCCUAGUUAACUUGGAAAGUGCUGAACUACUUAGAUUAAGAGGUACAGCUGUCUUUUGCCUAGGACUGUAG
rnacentral:lncRNA from 1 species